rnacentral:misc_RNA from 1 species
UCUUGAUUGAUCUAUGGCCAG